GGGAAAAGGGGGGGGGGCUACACAUGCAGUCGAGCGGCAGCGGAAGUAGCUUGCUACUUUGCCGGCGAGCGGCGGACGGGUGAGUAAUGUCUGGGAAACUGCCUGAUGGAGGGGGAUAACUACUGGAAACGGUAGCUAAUACCGCAUAACGUCGCAAGACCAAAGAGGGGGACCUUCGGGCCUCUUGCCAUCAGAUGUGCCCAGAUGGGAUUAGCUAGUAGGUGGGGUAACGGCUCACCUAGGCGACGAUCCCUAGCUGGUCUGAGAGGAUGACCAGCCACACUGGAACUGAGACACGGUCCAGACUCCUACGGGAGGCAGCAGUGGGGAAUAUUGCACAAUGGGCGCAAGCCUGAUGCAGCCAUGCCGCGUGUAUGAAGAAGGCCUUCGGGUUGUAAAGUACUUUCAGCGGGGAGGAAGGUGGUGAGGUUAAUAACCUCAUCAAUUGACGUUACCCGCAGAAGAAGCACCGGCUAACUCCGUGCCAGCAGCCGCGGUAAUACGGAGGGUGCAAGCGUUAAUCGGAAUUACUGGGCGUAAAGCGCACGCAGGCGGUCUGUCAAGUCGGAUGUGAAAUCCCCGGGCUCAACCUGGGAACUGCAUUCGAAACUGGCAGGCUAGAGUCUUGUAGAGGGGGGUAGAAUUCCAGGUGUAGCGGUGAAAUGCGUAGAGAUCUGGAGGAAUACCGGUGGCGAAGGCGGCCCCCUGGACAAAGACUGACGCUCAGGUGCGAAAGCGUGGGGAGCAAACAGGAUUAGAUACCCUUGGUAGUCCAGAAA
rnacentral:rRNA from 1 species